GUCAGAUUGCUGGCCUACCGCCCUACGGCAAAUCCGAAAAAUCUCUCCCCUCUUUAGAGCAUGUUAAGUCCUUCUG
rnacentral:tRNA from 1 species